rnacentral:lncRNA from 1 species
UUUAUACUCUACUUGUGAUGUGUUAUCGUUAUAUUUUUAUACUAGGUAAUCCUGUUCUGAGUCCUUUCACGUGUAUAAUCCUCAUGGGACUGUACGUGCUUUGCUCUGGUAUUCAGUUGCCUUCUUGGCAAAACCAGCCUAGAAUUGCUAAAAUGCCAGGAUUGAAGUUAGAUGAUGAAAGUCGGGCACAGGAAGGCCAGGUCAGGGUCAGAGAGACCAGAAUUCACACUACAAGGCUGGCACCAUCACCAUUCAAGUUGGGCAUGGAAGCCUGGGCCCGGCAGGACUGAGCUCCCUAUGUAUGUGUAUCUGCCAGGAAAUUAACACUUGCUAAAUUUCCCAUCCUCUCACAGCGAGCAGUGUACCUGUGCGCUGCUGUGAACGUUGUAGUGUGAAGUCUGUCCUGGGGUAGGGAGUUACCAGUGUGAGGUCAGGGAUGAACACAGCUCACUGAAGACGAGCCUGGUGGAAGAGAGUUUGCCAUUGUGCCCACUGCAUGAACAUUCCCUCGGGGGAUGUAUCAUGGAGCACCUCUCUUUGCUCUAAGAAAGAGUCUUAGAAUUCAUCUUAAAUACAGG